rfam:Haemonchus contortus, ISE/inbred ISE, WGS project CAVP01000000 data, contig: Hcontortus_28207
GGCGCAAACUUGAAGUAGAGUAGAGUAGUUUAGUAGGGUCAGAUGAUCCUUCUAAUCUACUCUACUUCAAAUUUGGGCCC